AGAUUUCCCUAUAGGCAGUAAGUUGUCUGCUUUAUGUCAAACAUCAACAUAGUUCACCUGAAUGAAAUUUUUUGAUGUUAGCAAACCACGUGAUUCUUUUUACCUGUACCGGCUUACGUGUUACAACUUACUCAUAUAUACAAAAAUCAUAUCAAUAAUUCGUAUACCUUUGGACGGAGUACCUGUAACCAUUUGACCAGACCAAAAUGCCGGUAAGUCAUCGAUUAUCAUUUGUUUUUCAUAUAUACAUAUAUGUAGACUUGUAUUUUUUUAUUCUAAUUUCGUCUACACUCAUUUUCUUAGUCAGAAGUUAACCGGCUUUACACUGUUACAUGUUAUUUGAUGAGAAACAUUAAUAACUGGGCGUUGUUCACCAUAAAAAAUGUAUGCUUGAGGUUGCUGAAUUAAGAAAUUCCUUAAUUAAAAUGAUUGUAAUUUAUCUUUUAUGAUAAUGAUAUAAUACGUGAAGAGGUUUCAUGCAAUUACACCGUAAAUAUAUGUAAAGAAGCAUCAUUACCAUGAUUACGGGAUGCUGUUCGUUUAUGCACAUAGGUAUAGAGGUAAAAAUAAUUUCCAGGGGACAAUAAGGUCGGACUUCAGUAUACUUCAACUGUCUACCAUCCUAUUUAUAACCCCGGUAAAUCCUGGCUGCCAAAAUUGUCAGCUUUAUCGAUUUUCCGUAAAACUAUACUGAAAUCAAGUUACUAUACAAAUCCUUACUGAAUUCUUCAUGUUCGUGACGGUAAUUGAACUAAAUUGAAUGUAAAUUAUUUAGGUAGUUUUUACUUCACUUGAUUGAUUAAUUUGUGCAUCUCCAAUCGAUAUAUCGAUUUUUCUAUAAAAAAAACUUGUCCUAUUACAAAACAUGGAUGAUGCAUGAAUGAUGUUGAGUAUAAAUGGGAUUGGUAUGAUGCAGCUUUCAGUUUGGGCGAUUCACAAAUAAAAACAAAGGACUUUUACAUCCGAAAUUCUACUCCUUCAUUUUGGGGGAUUAGAGCACAGUCUUUUGUUUUUAAAAACACUAUAAAGUGUUAUAUUAAGACAUACAAGUAUUUUUAAGACAAGUGCCUGUGGGGGAUAGAAAGAAUAAGACGAGACCAUUAAUUAUCUGAAAAAAAUCAAAACUGUGAUGAAUUUUACUCAAUGUAUGCAUAUUCUCACGCUCUUGUCAUCUGACAAUCUGUUCUUUUACAACAUAUAGGGGACUUGUCAUUCAUUUAACUUAAAAUAAUCACGGGAAUACUAUAUAUGAUCUGUUCAGGAAUUUUAAUCAAUAACUUAAUGGGCUUAUGAUAUUUACCUAGCGUAGGUGUUAAAUAUUUCAAUGAAGAUAAAAAGCAUGUAAGAUAACAUUUAUAUACACCUACGCUUGAUGACGAACUUGUCAUCAAAGUCCAACAUGGAUGGGCAAAAAGGUCAACGCAGAUCCGAUCCACACAUAUUUUCGACCUAAGAUUGAUGCAAUGGUCUAUAGAACCCCCUCCCCACAUAGACUUCAGUCUACUCCAGUUAAGUAACUAGAAUGUUUAAACAUUUGAGAGUUCCGUCUCAGACCUGUUUAAAGAUGACACUUUAGAUCAGAUAACUUGAUAAUGCCUAACAAUACUACUGAUUAUAAUCAAUUUGAAAGCGUUUAUUGAGUUUGAUAAAAUUUUAGCAACAUUUUCACAUGUUCCAAAAAAACUAGAACGAGGAUGUUGUCAUGUUUAAACCAACUCAAACUCUACUGUAAAAAAUGAAACCCCAGAAUUAGCGAAAGAACGCCACAUGACUUCCAAAUAGUUCUUUGGAUACACAUUAUAAAUGUUGAAAGCCUGAAAAAAAAACCUUUGAAACGGUUAGGAUAUUAACGGGUAAUAUGCUAAAAGAUAAGUAUCCAGUCAUAGGAGACAAUAUAGUUUAGCCCCCCAUGAACCCUAUACAUUUUAUUAAAAUGACAAUGAUUUUCAUUAUGAGCAGAUCCAACAUUCAUGUCACUGAGGAUCACAGAGUAACUGGCUAUAUUAUGUCACAUAUCACAUAGCAUAUCAAGUUGCAUAUAUCAUUUUAAUUUAAAUAUAUAUAUACCGAUCGCUCGAUUUUAUUGAAUGUUAUUCGUUUUAAUCUGAAAUUAUAAUGCUAUUAUCAUGUCAAAUGUUAAUGCCCGUGGGAUUCUUUUUUCUUUUUAGAAAUAUAUUUUUUAUUUUAUUUAGUCUCCCACAAUCGUACCAAACUGGAACUAUGACGAGGCUGUUGAAGCUGAAGCAGCUGACAA
rnacentral:lncRNA from 1 species